rnacentral:rRNA from 1 species
UACAGAGGUCUCAAGCGUUGUUCGGAUUCAUUGGGCGUAAAGGGUGCGUAGGUGGCGCUGUAAGUCGGGUGUGAAAUUUCGGAGCUUAACUCCGAAACUGCAUUCAAUACUGCGGUGCUUGAGGACUGGAGAGGAGACUGGAAUUCAUGGUGUAGCAGUGAAAUGCGUAGAGAUCAUGAGGAAGACCAGUGGCGAAGGCGGGUCUCUGGACAGUUCCUGACACUGAGGCACGAAGGCCAGGGGAGCAAACGGG